UGGCUCUACAGGUUGCAGAGUUGUUGCCUGGUGAAUUGAAGCUCAUCACACUUGAUUCUUGUUUCUGAGGUUGAUAUAAAGCGCCGCGGCUCCCCGAGGUUCAAGCCCCGACGCUGACUGACAGUCGCUGGCAGCCUCGCCUCAUCUGGACAGACUCUGAUGGGAUUUAGCGGCGUGUCCAUUGGCCGCCGUCGUGUGCCAGCACUCUGCCGGGCCGGGGCCGGGCCUUUAUACAAACGGCCCAGCGUGGCGCCGGGGCCGGGCCCACAAAGAUGGCUGCUGUGACACACACAGGAGCAUAAUAGACUCCUUCUGGUCGGAGGACCCCUCGCCGUCUGAAGCUGCAGAAAUAAAGACUGUCAACAUGAAGGAAUAAACACUGAUGAUCCUCACAACUUCAGGGAGGCAUGAUGGCUUCCUGUCUCGUCUCACGUCGCGUCGCCCCGGUGUUCGACGUCCCCGCUGCCCGGUCUGAUUUAGAUCUUCCUCCCCGCUGCUGCUCUGAACCUCGUGUCUCUCCUGGUUCUCUCGGCCGUCCGCGGUUUUGACAGACGAUUCGUUCGGACAUGUUUUUCUCACCGUGAUAACUUGACCCGUCGACCUCUACCUGUUCCUGCCCCGGCUGACGCCGCUCCUGUGAACCCGCCAAAACCACCAACCGCCGAUUAAUUAUAGAUGCACGAAGCGGGAGGCGGAGGAGAUGUCAGAGACGUCAGGUCAGAUUAUUAUUGCUGCCAGCGAAGGAGAGCGGGACACGAGCCGGAGGACGAGGAGAUAAAUUAUAACUAACUACACACUCACAUUUUUGUUUAUGUUUUUAUUUUGUGUUAGGAGCUGUGACUUUGUG